rnacentral:rRNA from 1 species
GAUGAACGCUGGCGGCGUGCCUAAUACAUGCAAGUCGAGCGAACGGACGAGAAGCUUGCUUCUCUGAUGUUAGCGGCGGACGGGUGAGUAACACGUGGAUAACCUACCUAUAAGACUGGGAUAACUUCGGGAAACCGUAGCUAAUACCGGAUGAUAUUUUUAACCGCAUGGUUCAAAAGUGCAUGACGGUCUUUCUGUCACUUAUAGAUGGAUCCGCGCUGCAUUAGCUAGUUGGUAAGGUAACGGCUUACCAAGGCAACGAUGCAUAGCCGACCUGAGAGGGUGAUCGGAGACACGGGAAGAGAGACACGGAAAAGAGUAGUACGGGAGGAAGCAGAAGGGAAAAUUAGGCAAUGGGCGAAAGAAUGACGGAGAAAGGGCGCGUGAGAGAUGAAGGAAUGAGGAGCGUAAAACACUGUUAUGAGGGAAGAAAAUAAGUGAAAGAAAAAGAGAACAUAAUGACGGUAACGAAAAAGAAAGCAACGGCUAACUACGUG